CCCUAGCCCCCGAUAGAAGUGGAAAUCCUUUUUUGGCGAUUUUUCUUCUCCAAAAAAGAUUGAAAUGAAUAGUGGGAAAUAGC
rnacentral:sRNA from 1 species